AAGCAACGCGAAGAACCUUACCAGGUCUUGACAUCUUUUGACAAUCCUAGAGAUAGGACGUCCCCUUCGGGGGCAGAGUGACAGGUGGUGCAUGGUUGUCGUCAGCUCGUGUCGUGAGAUGUUGGGUUAAGUCCCGCAACGAGCGCAACCCUUGAUUUUAGUUGCCAGCAUUCAGUUGGGCACUUUAAGGUGACUGCCGGUGACAAACCGGAGGAAGGUGGGGAGGACGUCAAAUCAUCAUGCCCCUUAUGACCUGGGCUACACACGUGCUACAAUGGACAGAACAAAGGGCAGGGAAACCGGGAGGUUAAGCCAAUCCCACAAAUCUGUUCUCAGUUCGGAUCGCAGUCUGCAACUCGACUGCGUGAAGCUGGAAUCGCUAGUAAUCGCGGAUCAGCAUGCCGCGGUGAAUACGUUCCCGGGCCUUGUACACACCGCCCGUCACACCACGAGAGUUUGUAACACCCGAAGUCGGUGAGG
rnacentral:rRNA from 1 species